UACGAAGGGUGCUAGCGUUGCUCGGAAUUACUGGGCGUAAAGGGAGCGUAGGCGGGUUAUCAAGUUGGAGGUGAAAGCCCAGGGCUCAACCUUGGAAUUGCCUUCAAAACUGAUAGCCUAGAGUAUGGAAGAGGUAAGUGGAACUCCGAGUGUAGAGGUGAAAUUCGUAGAUAUUCGGAAGAACACCAGUGGCGAAGGCGACUUACUGGUCCAUGACUGACGCUGAGGCUCGAAAGCGUGGGGAGCAAACAGG
rnacentral:rRNA from 1 species